GACAGAGGGUGCAAACGUUGUUCGGAAUUACUGGGCGUAAAGCGCGUGUAGGCUGCUUCGCAAGUCGGAUGUGAAAGCCCUGGGCUCAACCCAGGAAGUGCAUUCGAAACUGCAAAGCUGGAGUCCUGGAGAGGAAGGCGGAAUUCUCGGUGUAGAGGUGAAAUUCGUAGAUAUCGAGAGGAACACCGGUGGCGAAGGCGGAUCUCUGGGCCUUACCUGACGCUGAGGCGCGAAAGCUAGGGGAGCGAACAGG
rnacentral:rRNA from 1 species